GCUGGGUAUGGUAGUGCAUACCUGUUGUCCCAGCUACUCAGGAGGCUGAGGUGGGAGGAUCGCUUGAGCCCAGGAGUUCGAGGCUGCAGUGAGCCAAGAUCACACCACUGCACUCCAGCCUGGGCACCAGAGUGAGACCCUGUCUCUA
rnacentral:SRP_RNA from 1 species